CAAUAGCGUAUAUUAACGUUGUUGCAGUUAAAAAGCUCGUAGUUGGAUUUCUGGAGGGAGCGUCGGCCCGUAUUUACGAGUGCGUGACGUCUCUGUCCAUCCUUGCGGAAAGGCACGGCAUUGAUUUGUUGUGUCGGAUCGCAUCAUUUACUGUGAAAAAAUUAGAGUGUUCAAAGCAGGCUUUCGCUUGAAUACAUUAGCAUGGAAUAAUAAGAUAGGACUUUGGUGCUAUUUUGUUGGUUGAGCCUAAAGUAAUGAUUAAUAGGGAUAGUUGGGGGCACCUGUAUUGCGUUGUCAGAGGUGAAAUUCUUGGAUUUACGCAAGACAAACAGCUGCGAAAGCGUCUGCCAAGGAUGUUUUCAUUAA
rnacentral:rRNA from 1 species